AUUGCCAGGUGUCCCUAUCUCAGUCUGCCCUAGCUUUUGGAUCCCUGAUAAAGUAGUACCACCUCCCCUGGGAAAAGGGGAGAAGUGAAGUGGGGCUUGACAAUCCAUACUUGUCAUAAUAAAGGGUGCCCAUUUUGUAGAAGACAUUAAUAAACUGGAGCAUGACCUGAGGAGGUUGGCAAAGAUGGGGAGAGGACUGAAGACCAAGGAAUAGGAUGAUCUGUUACAGUGCUUAGGGAUGUUUAGAAGAGAAUCUGUAGGUAGGAUUCCAUAACUGUCUUUAAGAAUUUGAAGGACAGAACCAGGAGCAAUGGAUGAGAGUUACCUAGAGGACAGUUUCUGCUCCAGUUAAGAAAUUAUUUCCUGACACCCAGAACUGUUCAAAUGUGGAAUGGGCUGGCUGGGGACAUAGUACAUUUCUUUGCCUUGGGGGUCUUUGAGCAGACUGGAUGGCUGCUUGGCCAGAAUGUUUUCUAAUAGAGAUUUCUAUACAACUGAAAACCAGAUAUCCCCCAUCUCCCUCCAGUAAAACUUCCCUUUUUAUGUCCAAGAUUCUUCCAGCCAGUUAACUCCCCGAGUGAGUCAUCUUUCACUCUUUUGCCUUCCUGUACCUCAUAGUUAUCCACUCAUUGAUUCUUCCUACACAAGAACUGGCAUAUCCAUGCUCUUCGCUCCACUCAUACAUCAUCCUCUUUCAAACUCAUCUCCUCUUACCUAGGUAACUGCAACAGUAUCCUAUUUAUUCUCCCCAAAUCUAUCUUCUAUGUGUCCAACUUCUCAGCUUAAGUAUGCUCAGUGAUUGCCUCUAGGACACAGUCCAAAGUCUUCAGUUUGGCACGAAAGCCAUCCACAAUUUCCCUUUCUGAUCUUUUCUCCUAUUAUAGCACUUCACUAUCUCUUUUUCCAAGAAAACUGGCCUGCUAACUGAUCCCUAGAUCAUCGUCCUAUCUCUUACUUGUCUUUUCAUAGGCUAUUCCUGCCGCCUGGAAUUUUCUACCUCCUUAUUCCCAGCUGGGAGAAUCUUUAGCUGCCUUUAUGCUUAGCUCCUUUGCUGUCUACUUCCUAUGAGAAGCUUUCUGUGACAGCAUUGUUCAUUAGGAUUCUCUCUCCUCCCAUUAUCAUCUACAGAUUCAUCUUUUUCCAUGUAGUGCAUCCCCAGCUGACUGGAAGUUCCUUGAAGGCAGAGGCCUUUUAUCAUUUUCUUUUUGUAUCCCUCCCACCAAGCAUCAUACCUUCCAUAGAGUAGACUCCUGAUAAAUGCUAUGUGGAUUGGAUCACGAGAGCAUUGUUUCCAAGCUGGAAGUGAUUUUACAGACAUUGGAUCUAACAGGAACUUUUUCAUUUUAUAGAUAAGGAUACUGAGACAGAUAUAAGAAGUGACUAGGGUCACUCAUCUAGGAAGCAGGGUUUGACCCUGAGGUCUUGACCUCAAAUCCAGGGCUCUAUAAGUGUAUCUUAUGAACUCUGAAGGCCUUCCUAGCUCUGAAACUUUGUUUGGUUUCUGUUGUAUAUUCAAUACAUUAUAGAUUACACAUAAAACAGUUCCAUCACUCUUCUACAUCCAGAAGGCACCUGUAAAUGAUAUAUUUAAACUGCACUAAAUUUCUGCCCAUCUGAUAACAAUUCACCAAACUAUGUCAUCCAUGAUGACAAUAGCUAAUGAGUGUGUGUACAACUAUCUCUGUUUUACAGAUGAGGAAGCUGAGGCUCAGAAUGCCUGUGACUUGCCUUAAGGGAUGGGAGCCAAGAUUCUGUAAUCCAAUCUAGUGUCUUUCCCACUAUGACAUGCUUCCCCUCAGUCAUUCGGAUGUAUGCUUUGGAAAUACGAUUGCUUUUCUUUUUCUUUUUCUAAUUGACUUGACCAAGUUGAGUCAUACUCCUCAAGAGAGCUGCCAUUUUUAUGGAGCCUUCUUGGGAACAAUAGGAUUUGGUGGUUGGGAAGGAUUCCACUUUCGUUCAAAAUGAGUAUCAGGGUUUAUGGACAGUAUUAGGGGACCAAGAUGGGACCACUGACCAGUGACAAAAAGAGAACUUGGCUGCCUAGAGAAAGCAGAGAGUUCCAGGGGACGGCUUGCAAACAGCCUACCCACUAAGAGGUUAGAAGCUUGCCUGCUAAGUCAUGAAAUAGUGGGCAUGGGCAUGAACAUCAUUCAUUUACCAUUAGGGAAACGGUUCUAGAGCUGCCUGCGCAUCUGUGGAACACUGUAGUUACUAGAUGACACCCAGUUACCUUCAAAUGAAGUCUCAAAGAAGAAGGAAGAAGGAAGUCUGGAGAUGCUAUUAUUCCUGAGGCUGUGAACAACCUAGAGGGAAAAAAGACCCAAGACAAAGAUCCUAUUCCAGGCUGGCUGUAGGAUGCCCCCUGGCUGGUUACUGGUGAUGGAACCUAAUGGGGAUGUGGCUUAUCAGCUGGGUGUCCUCUUCUCCUCUACCUGUGCCACAUUCUCCCAGUAGAUGAUGUCAUUCUAGAGAUAUCUUCUUCCUAAUGUCUCAAUGGACAUAGUAAAGUUUUGUCAUGUGGCAACAGUGGUAUAUGCAGAGCACUUGUUUGCAUGUAGACUGCUGUGGCCACAAGCCAUGAUGGGGAACGAUACAAGGUGGAAAACAGAGUCACCAGGAACUGUGGAGAAUUUCAACAUGGUAGAAAAAAUAUGGGUCAACCAAGUGAAAAUGACAUGUGACAAACAACUCUGCUCCUUGCCUGGUUGCCCAGCUACUUCCUUCCUUCUUUUGACUGGAAUCCAAGACAUGUACUGGAAAAAGACAAUCUCCUGGGCUCUUCAUGGAGGAAAACAACUGGAAAACCCCUUUGAUAUCAUAUCACUGGGAAAAUUUCCAGGACAAAGGUAGGAAUUUGAAGGGGUUGGACAUCCUACAGAGCAGCUGAGACCAGGCUGGAACAGAGAACAAAGGAGGAAUUAUGAAGAGAAGCCUAGUGAAGAAUAUCAUGAGGGAAAUACAUAAUCACACUCUAGUCAUUCUCCUCUUCCCCCACCCUCUGGAUCCUAGUCUUGGCCCUUGGGACAAUGAGAUCUGAUAGAGGAAUUUCCAUUUUCUCUUACCCAGAAACUGCUCUCCAUGUCACCUUCUAGUCAUUUCCAAUCCAUGCUAUCUCCCAAACUCCCAUUUCACCCAAACAUAUGACUAGGAAGCAACCUUGUGGCCCUGUAACAUCUAGAGAUAAUAGAGAGUGGCAGCUGAGUGGCAUAGCCCAGCAGCAGCCAAGCCUGGUGAGGGACCAGCACAGCAGCUGGGAAGUAGCAGACAUUUUUACCUUUUGCCUGAUAUCUUAAAAAAUGAGAGGAGAGAGAGGAGAUUCUAGGAGAGAAAUUGCCUUGCCCAACACAUGAACGGCUAAUCCAGCAAUAGCAGAGAGGUCUGGACCAACAAGGCUGCCUGUCCAGAAGACUAUUUAAAAGGAAAUUUCAUGAGGACCCUUUGAAGGAAGAAAAAGGACUUCCAAUGCCAGGAGUCAGGACAAUGAAGUUAAUCAAACAGGAUGAAACUGCCUAGCAACACUCAUGUCUGUAAAUUCUCUGAAAUGAAGGAGAAGCUGAAUGUAGAAAGGAGAAAAAGCAACAACCCUGACAAAGUGGUUCCCCUGACAGAGAGAGAUCCCUGGUCACCAGAGGAAAACUUGGGGAGAAUUUUGAUCUCAUUUACUGGCAGACCUGGGGCAGAACAAAUUGGAUGUCAUGUACAAAGGGUUUUUACAAUAAAAAGUUGACUUAGUAGGAUUCAACCAACUGGAGCCCUCACUUAGCCAUACUCUGGUUUUAGCUCUCCGUCUUUAGGGGCAUGUAGAAAUGAAGCCCAAUCGGCCAACUGGGGGAUUGAGGAUCAGCAUGAAUUCACCUCAAUCUCCUGAGCUUUCCAUGGGAUUGACCCUAUGCCUCAAGCUACUAAAGUAUCCAAGACCUUGCUGCCACUACUUCAACCUGCGCCUAGGCUUUCUUCAGAAAUAUGGACUGUACCUGGUAGGUGGACUAGUCCAGUUGGGAAGUGGUCAUGGCAGCGAGAAAGGUCUUAGAGUUAGUCCAGUGAAUCAGAAAGUCACUUAACCCCAUCCCCUCCUGACCAAAGCACUGCAACUAAUUGGGGUUGGAUGGACCAUGAUCUCAGACCAUCAAUGGAGCUGGAGUCAUCUAAUGUGCUUGACGAGCUUCAAAAAUGGCGCCAGAGGCCCGAGAGACUUGGCUAGGUUGGGUCGUUGUUCACUUACUUAAGGCAAAGGCCUAACCUAAAAGGCCAAGGACGACUGGCCUUUGCCUUCCCAGACUGAUCAUUUUGUCUGUUGUUCUGGUGCUGGUCCCUAAGAAAAGCAAAUAGCCAGGGCUGGCCAGGGGGACUCCUUUGCAACCCGAGUUUGUUACAAGCAUUAGAGAGAGGACUUUGGGAGGCCAGGGAGUGCUCAGGUUGGGCUUUUCUUUGUGUCUUCAGCAUUGAGGAAAGAGCUCCAAUAAAGGCUUGUUGGCUUCACUGA